rnacentral:rRNA from 1 species
AUUGAACGCUGGCAGCAUGCUUUACACAUGCAAGUCGAACGGUAACAGGUUAAGCUGACGAGUGGCGAACGGGUGAGUAAUGCAUCGGAACGUGCCCGAUCGUGGGGGAUAACGCAGCGAAAGCUGCGCUAAUACCGCAUACGAUCUGAGGAUGAAAGCGGGGGACCGUAAGGCCUCGCGCGAUCGGAGCGGCCGAUGUCAGAUUAGGUAGUUGGUGGGGUAAAGGCCCACCAAGCCGACGAUCUGUAGCUGGUCUGAGAGGACGACCAGCCACACUGGGACUGAGACACGGCCCAGACUCCUACGGGAGGCAGCAGUGGGGAAUUUUGGACAAUGGGCGAAAGCCUGAUCCGGCAAUGCCGCGUGCAGGAAGAAGGCCUUCGGGUUGUAAACUGCUUUUGUACGGAGCGAAAAGGUCCUUUCUAAUACAAGGGGCUCAUGACGGUACCGUAAGAAUAAGCACCGGCUAACUACGUGCCAGCCGCCGCAGUAACAC